UAAACCUAUUUUUAAGAAAUAUAGUAUCUUGACUAAGUUGAAAAGUAUUUCAACCUGGAUUUCUUAACCAAAAGAGGUUCUCACGAACCAGACUCUAAACUUAUAAACGCGUCCGAAAAUAGUUUUAAAAUCUCCUUUCUUCUUAAGUUAAAAACUCCUAAAGAACUAAACAAAACGCUUUCGCUGUUUUUGAAAUAGUUAAAAACAAUUAAGUUUAAAAAGACGUUGGACGGCUUUCGAUCUUACCCAAC
rnacentral:lncRNA from 1 species